AGAACGAACGCUGGCGGCAGGCUUAACACAUGCAAGUCGAACGCCCUCGCAAGGGGGAGUGGCAGACGGGUGAGUAACACGUGGGAACAUACCCUUCGGUUCGGAACAACGCCGGGAAACUGGCGCUAAUACCGGAUACGGCUUUUGAGCGAAAGAUUUAUCGCCGAAGGAUUGGCCCGCGUUCGAUUAGCUUGUUGGUGAGGUAACGGCUCACCAAGGCGACGAUCGAUAGCUGGUCUGAGAGGAUGGCCAGCCACAUUGGGACUGAGACACGGCCCAAACUCCUACGGGAGGCAGCAGUGGGGAAUAUUGGACAAUGGGCGCAAGCCUGAUCCAGCCAUGCCGCGUGAGUGAUGACGGCCUUAGGGUUGUAAAGCUCUUUCGCACGCGACGAUAUGACGGUAGCGUGAGAAGAGCCCCGGCUAACUCGCGCCAGCAGCCGC
rnacentral:rRNA from 1 species